rnacentral:rRNA from 1 species
CCUACGGGUGGCAGCAGUGAGGAAUAUUGGUCAAUGGGCGCGAGCCUGAACCAGCCAAGUCGCGUGAGGGAGGACGGCCCUACGGGUUGUACACCUCUUUUGCCGGGGAGCAACGGGCGUCACGUGUUGCGCCACUUAGUGUACCCGGAGACAAAGCAUCGGCUAACUGCGUUACAGCAGCCGCGGUAAUACGGAGGAUGCGAGCGUUAUCCGGAUUUCUUGGGUUAACAGGUUGCGUAGGCGGAUAGUUAAGUCAGUGGUAAAAUUGAGGGGAUCAACCCCUUCCCGCCAUUGAAACUGGCGUUCUGGAGUGGAAGAGAAGUAUGCGGAAUGCGUGGUGUAGCGGUGAAAUGCAUAGAUAUCACGCAGAACCCCGAUUGCGAAGGCAGCAUGCCGGCUUCCGACUGACGCUGAAGCACGAAAGCGUGGGGAUCGAACAGGAUUAGAUACCCCAGUAGUC